rnacentral:rRNA from 2 species
CCGUACACAAAAGCGCAUGUGCUGUGAGCUCGAUGAGUAGGGCGGGACACGUGGUAUCCUGUCUGAAUAUGGGGGGACCAUCCUCCAAGGCUAAAUACUCCUGACUGACCGAUAGUGAACCAGUACCGUGAGGGAAAGGCGAAAAGAACCCCGGCGAGGGGAGUGAAAAAGAACCUGAAACCGUGUACGUACAAGCAGUGGGAGCACAGGUUUACCUGUGUGACUGCGUACCUUUUGUAUAAUGGGUCAGCGACUUAUAUUCUGUAGCAAGGUUAACCGUAUAGGGGAGCCGUAGGGAAACCGAGUCUUAACCGGGCGUUAAGUUGCAGGGUAUAGACCCGAAACCCGGUGAUCUAGCCAUGGGCAGGUUGAAGGUUGGGUAACACUAACUGGAGGACCGAACCGACUAAUGUUGAAAAAUUAGCGGAUGACCUGUGGCUGGGGGUGAAAGGCCAAUCAAACCGGGAGAUAGCUGGUUCUCCCCGAAAGCUAUUUAGGUAGCGCCUCGUGAAUUCAUCUCCGGGGGUAGAGCACUGUUUCGGCUAGGGGGCCAUCCCGGCUUACCAACCCGAUGCAAACUGCGAAUACCGGAGAAUGUUAUCACGGGAGACACACGGCGGGUGCUAACGUCCGUCGUGAAGAGGGAAACAACCCAGACCGCCAGCUAAGGUCCCAAAGUCAUGGUUAAGUGGGAAACGAUGUGGGAAGGCCCAGACAGCCAGGAUGUUGGCUUAGAAGCAGCCAUCAUUUAAAGAAAGCGUAAUAGCUCACUGGUCGAGUCGGCCUGCGCGGAAGAUGUAACGGGGCUAAACCAUGCACCGAAGCUGCGGCAGCGAACGUAUCACCCAAGACAACUUUACGGAGUUGACGAUUGACGGAGCGAAGCGACGUCAAAGCGUUCAUUAAAGUCGAGUUGGCUUAGGGAUACGUUCGUUGGGUAGGGGAGCGUUCUGUAAGCCUGUGAAGGUGUGUCGUGAGGCAUGCUGGAGGUAUCAGAAGUGCGAAUGCUGACAUAAGUAACGAUAAAGCGGGUGAAAAGCCCGCUCGCCGGAAGACCAAGGGUUCCUGUCCAACGUUAAUCGGGGCAGGGUGAGUCGACCCCUAAGGCGAGGCCGAAAGGCGUAGUCGAUGGGAAACGGGUUAAUAUUCCCGUACUUGGUGUUACUGCGAAGGGGGGACGGAGAAGGCUAUGUUGGCCGGGCGACGGUUGUCCCGGUUUAAGCGUGUAGGUGUGUGUUCCAGGUAAAUCCGGUUCACUUUAACACUGAGGCGUGACGACGAGGCACUACGGUGCUGAAGCAACAAAUGCCCUGCUUCCAGGAAAAGCCUCUAAGCAUCAGGUAACACGAAAUCGUACCCCAAACCGACACAGGUGGUCAGGUAGAGAAUACCAAGGCGCUUGAGAGAACUCGGGUGAAGGAACUAGGCAAAAUGGUGCCGUAACUUCGGGAGAAGGCACGCUGACACGUAGGUGAAGUGAUUUACUCAUGGAGCUGAAGUCAGUCGAAGAUACCAGCUGGCUGCAACUGUUUAUUAAAAACACAGCACUGUGCAAACACGAAAGUGGACGUAUACGGUGUGACGCCUGCCCGGUGCCGGAAGGUUAAUUGAUGGGGUCAGCGCAAGCGAAGCUCCUGAUCGAAGCCCCGGUAAACGGCGGCCGUAACUAUAACGGUCCUAAGGUAGCGAAAUUCCUUGUCGGGUAAGUUCCGACCUGCACGAAUGGCGUAAUGAUGGCCAGGCUGUCUCCACCCGAGACUCAGUGAAAUUGAACUCGCUGUGAAGAUGCAGUGUACCCGCGGCAAGACGGAAAGACCCCGUGAACCUUUACUAUAGCUUGACACUGAACAUUGAGCCUUGAUGUGUAGGAUAGGUGGGAGGCUUUGAAGUGUGGACGCCAGUCUGCAUGGAGCCGACCUUGAAAUACCACCCUUUAAUGUUUGAUGUUCUAACGUGGACCCGUAAUCCGGGUUGCGGACAGUGUCUGGUGGGUAGUUUGACUGGGGCGGUCUCCUCCUAAAGAGUAACGGAGGAGCACGAAGGUUGGCUAAUCCUGGUCGGACAUCAGGAGGUUAGUGCAAUGGCAUAAGCCAGCUUGACUGCGAGCGUGACGGCGCGAGCAGGUGCGAAAGCAGGUCAUAGUGAUCCGGUGGUUCUGAAUGGAAGGGCCAUCGCUCAACGGAUAAAAGGUACUCCGGGGAUAACAGGCUGAUACCGCCCAAGAGUUCAUAUCGACGGCGGUGUUUGGCACCUCGAUGUCGGCUCAUCACAUCCUGGGGCUGAAGUAGGUCCCAAGGGUAUGGCUGUUCGCCAUUUAAAGUGGUACGCGAGCUGGGUUUAGAACGUCGUGAGACAGUUCGGUCCCUAUCUGCCGUGGGCGCUGGAGAACUGAGGGGGGCUGCUCCUAGUACGAGAGGACCGGAGUGGACGCAUCACUGGUGUUCGGGUUGUCAUGCCAAUGGCACUGCCCGGUAGCUAAAUGCGGAAGAGAUAAGUGCUGAAAGCAUCUAAGCACGAAACUUGCCCCGA